AGCUUGUUGGUGGGGUGAUGGCCUACCAAGGCUGCGACGGGUAGCCGGCCUGAGAGGGUGUCCGGCCACACUGGGACUGAGACACGGCCCAGACUCCUACGGGAGGCAGCAGUGGGGAAUAUUGCACAAUGGGCGGAAGCCUGAUGCAGCGACGCCGCGUGAGGGAUGACGGCCUUCGGGUUGUAAACCUCUGUUGCCCCAGACGAAGCGAGAGUGACGGUAUGGGGUGAGGAAGCACCGGCUAACUACGUGCCAGCAGCCGCGGUAAUACGUAGGGUGCGAGCGUUGUCCGGAAUUAUUGGGCGUAAAGAGCUCGUAGGCGGCUCGUCGCGUCGGAUGUGAAAGCCCGGGGCUUAACUCCGGGUCUGCAUUCGAUACGGGCGGGCUUGAGUUCGGUAGGGGAGACUGGAAUUCCUGGUGUAGCGGUGAAAUGCGCAGAUAUCAGGAGGAACACCGGUGGCGAAGGCGGGUCUCUGGGCCGAUACUGACGCUGAGGAGCGAAAGCGUGGGGAGCGAACAGGAUUAGAUACCCUGGUAGUCCACGCUGUAAACGUUGGGCGCUAGGUGUGGGUGACAUCCACGUUGUCCGUGCCGUAGCUAACGCAUUAAGCGCCCCGCU
rnacentral:rRNA from 1 species